rnacentral:sRNA from 10 species
GUGAAAGUGUUGCCAGGUGGUUAGGUGGAUUGUGUAUUUGCAUGCCAGGAAACAUAAACAUUUGGCAGCCAGGCCGGUAUUAAGUAAGCAGGGCAACAGCCCGGAUCAUGAAUAGUGGAGGCAGUUGUGGGAGUGCCAACGGUACAUACAGCUGACUUUCAU